UACCAGCACCCCGAGUGGUCGGGACGAUUAUUGGGCCUAAAGCAUCCGUAGCCGGUUCUACAAGUCUUCCGUUAAAUCCACCUGCUUAACAGAUGGGCUGCGGAGGAUACUAUAGAGCUAGGAGGCGGGAGAGGCAAGCGGUACUCAGUGGGUAGGGUAAAAUCCUCUGAUCCAUUGAAGACCACCAGUGGCGAAGGCGGCUUGCCAAUACGCGCUCGACGGUGAGGGAUGAAAGCUGGGGGAGCAAACCGG
rnacentral:rRNA from 1 species